CGGGCUGUGGCGCAGUUUGGCAGCGCACCAGCUUUGGGAGCAGGGGGUCGCCGGUUCAAAUCCGGCCAGCCCGA
rnacentral:tRNA from 1 species